rfam:Bartonella henselae strain Houston-1, complete genome
UUCCAGCUGUCCAAAUGCUGGGAUAACUAUAGAGGCACACCUCAUUGCCUUCAGUGCGGAAGUGGUUUUCUCAACUCCAAUCAAAAAGGCAGAAAAAGUAAAGCAACGCGAUUUUCGCGCUGUUUUUUCGCUGCAUGCAAUGCUGCUUUCUUC